rnacentral:rRNA from 1 species
UACAGAGGUCUCAAGCGUUGUUCGGAUUCAUUGGGCGUAAAGGGUGCGUAGGUGGCGUCGUAAGUGGGGUGUGAAAUCCCGGGGCUUAACCCCGGGACUGCAUUCCAUACUGCGGUGCUUGAGGACUGGAGAGGAGACUGGAAUUUACGGUGUAGCAGUGAAAUGCGUAGAGAUUGUAAGGAAGACCAGUGGCGAAGGCGGGUCUCUGGACAGUUCCUGACACUGAGGCACGAAGGCCAGGGGAGCGAACGGG